UACGUAGGGUGCGAGCGUUAAUCGGAAUUACUGGGCGUAAAGGGCUCGUAGGCGGCCAACUAAGUCAGACGUGAAAUCCCUCGGCUCAACCGGGGAACUGCGUCUGAUACUGGGAGGCUUGAAUCCGGGAGAGGAAUGCGGAAUUCCAGGUGUAGCGGUGAAAUGCGUAGAUAUCUGGAGGAACACCGGUGGCGAAGGCGGCAUCCUGGACCGACACUGACGCUGAGGAGCGAAAGCCAGGGGAGCAAACGGG
rnacentral:rRNA from 1 species